CGGUAAGGAUGAAAGGGUGCGGUAAGAGCGCACCGCGGACCUGGCAACAGGGACGGCACGGCAAACCCCACCGGGAGCAAGACCAAAUAGGGAUGACGCGGGGACAGGGUGAAAGCCCUUUGCCCCAGCCGGUUUUCGAGGCCUGUCAUCCGGGUUGGUUGCAUAAGGCCGGCAGUAAUGCCGGUCAAAGAUGAAUGGUCACCACGUCAGCGCCGUGAGGCGCCGGCCCUACAGAACCCGGCUUAUAGGUCAACUGGCAUU
rnacentral:RNase_P_RNA from 1 species